CUGUCGCUGCGCGCCGGAGCCCGAGGGGCAGGGGACGCGCGCACCGGGAGAGGGGGGCAAGAGUCCUGGGGCCCCCGCGGGGAGUGGGGUGACUUCGGGAGGAAGGAUCGCAGUGCCCCUCGGGGCUUCUCUAGGCGCACAGGUAUCCUCACCUGACCGCCAGUCCCCGGCGAGAGGAGGGGGAGCCGGGAGCAGACGCGUGGGAGUUUCUGUAGGAGUUCCUGGUUCAAAUUCCACACUGCACACAGAGCCGGAACUUAUGAAGGGAUGGCCAAGUCCUGGAUGUAACUUCUGAAACCACCUAAGGCGUUCUCGGGAACAUGUUGGGCUGUGCGGUCUGGGGAGCAAGUGAAGUCCUGAGUGUGCAGAAGUGCAUGGGACAAUCUUGAUAAUGCACCAGGGCCACUUCUGUCUGAUUGAAGUGGCCUUGAAGAAAGGGACAGGACCAUGAUGCAAGUUGGUGACUCCCCCGUCCUGGUCCAUCCCUCCCUCCACACACACCCCAUCCAAACCCUGACUCACUUGGUCCAAUCUUAAGAAGGAAAGUACUGACAGGGAAGGAAGAGACUUCAUGUUUUUUCCUGAUUCACUAACGAUGUUGUCAAAGGCUCUGGGUGAGAUAUUUAAUUUCUCUGUCUCCUGGUUUGCUGUCUGUGAAAGGGUGACCCUAAUGCCAGGUUCCUGUGGGGACUGUGACAGACCGCAUUACAAGAGAGGCUCUCUCGGAUACUUCAGUCCCCACCCUUAGAGUUCAGUUUCUUCAUCUGUAAAACAAAGCAUUGGACUAGAAGUUCUCAGGUUCCGCCCAGCUCUCUCCUUCUGCAUUCUCUCAGGGGGAGGAGGUAAAAAGGGAAUGGGGGAAGAGAACUUUGAACUAAACCGGAUGACAGGACUGUCUCUUCCAGAAAAGGCACAGUGCUGCGCAAGCAGCAUCUGUGAGGUAUGCCUCAGUUCUCCUUCCAAACUUGUUUUUCCCAGGGGUUUCCUGAGGCCUCUCAAGAAGGCUCUCAAAACUGACCUGAAAUAUUCACAACUUGAACCAUCAGGAAGGAUUACUUUGAUUCUGUCUGAAAUCUUCCCUGCAUUUGGUAAGACAGGGCAAAGAAAGAAAAAUAAAUUACUGAAGGAAAUGAAUAGGAUAGUAUUAUCUAUAAAAGACAAUUUAGAAACUAGAUGAAGAUACAAGGGGUCUGUUUUACUAUUGUCACUACCUUUAUGGAUAUUUGAAAAGUCUCCUAAUAAAAUGGUUUCUUGAAAGAAUAUCUGAAAAUCGGUAGUUGUAAACCAGUAAUUUUCAAAUGCUGUUUUUCACCAUGAUACACACACACACACACACACACACACACAAAACCCACA